rnacentral:rRNA from 2 species
GUCAUAUGCUUGUCUCAAAGAUUAAGCCAUGCAUGUCUAAGUAUAAAUAAAUUUAUAUUGUGAAACUGCGAAUGGCUCAUUAAAUCAGUUAUGACCUACGUGACAUAUUCUUUACUACUUGGAUAACCGUGGUAAUUCUAGAGCUAAUACAUGCAAAAAAACCCAGACUUACGAAUGGGUGCACUUAUUAGAUAAAGCCAACGCUGGGUAAAACCAGUUUCCCUUGGUGAUUCAUAAUAAUUAAGCGGAUCGCAUGGCCUUGUGCUAGCGACAGUCCACUCGAUUUUCUGCCCUAUCAUGGUUGAGAUUGUAAGAUAGAGGCUUACAAUGCCUACAACGGGUAACGGGGAAU